AUACAGAGGGUGCAAGCGUUAAUCGGAAUUACUGGGCGUAAAGCGCGCGUAGGCGGUUUGUUAAGUUGGAUGUGAAAGCCCCGGGCUUAACCUGGGAGGGUCAUUCAAAACUGGCAGACUAGAGUGUGGUAGAGGGUAGUGGAAUUCCUAGUGUAGCGGUGAAAUGCGUAGAGAUUAGGAGGAACACCAGUGGCGAAGGCGACUGCCUGGACCAACACUGACGCUGAGGCGCGAAAGCGUGGGUAGCGAACAGGAUUAGAAACCCCAGUAGUCC
rnacentral:rRNA from 1 species